rnacentral:rRNA from 1 species
AGGAUUAACGCUGGCGGCGUGCAUGAAACAUGCAAGUCGAGCGCGGCGCGUGGCUUCGGUCACGCGUCUAGCGGCGCACGGGUGAGUAACACGUGAGCAACCUACCUUCGAGUUCGGGAUAGCCCUGGGAAACCAGGAUUAAUACCGGAUGUGGUCACAACGGGACAUCCCGAUGUGAAAAAAGGCGUAAGCCGCUCGAUGACGGGCUCGCGGCCUAUUAGCUUGUUGGUGGGUAACGGCCUACCAAGGCGACGAUGGGUAGCUGGUCUGAGAGGACGAUCAGCCACACUGGGACUGAGACACGGCCCAGACUCCUACGGGAGGCAGCAGUUAGGAAUUUUCCGCAAUGGGCGAAAGCCUGACGGAGCAACGCCGCGUGUGUGAUGAAGGCCUUCGGGUUGUAAGCACUGUCGGAGGGAGAAUGAUGACGGUACCUCCAAGAAGCCCGGCUAACUACGCGCCAGCAGCCGC